AUGAGGCGGGUGGCGCCGGCGAUGGUCCUCGCCUCCGCCGGCGGCGGAGGCGGCGGGGGCGAGGGAGAGGGGGGCGAGGCGGCGUUCGUGGAGAAGGCGCUGCCGAACGGGGACGUGUACAGCGGCGGGUUCGCGGGCGGCGCGCCGCACGGCAAGGGCAAGUACGUGUGGGCGGACGGGUGCAUGUACGAGGGGGAGUGGCGGCGCGGCAAGGCGUCCGGGAAGGGCCGCUUCUCCUGGCCCUCGGGCGCCACCUUCGAGGGCGAGUUCCGCGGGGGCCGGAUCGAGGGGCAGGGCGUCUUCGUCGGGCCCGACGGCGCCACCUACCGCGGCGCCUGGGCGGCCGACCGCCGCCACGGGGCCGGCGCCAAGAGCUACGCCAACGGGGACUACUACGAGGGCCAGUGGCGCCGCAACAUGCAGGACGGCCACGGCCGCUACGUCUGGGCCGCCGGCAACCAGUACGUCGGGGAGUGGCGCGGCGGCGUCAUCUCGGGGCGCGGCGUGCUGAUCUGGGCCAACGGCAGCCGCUACGACGGCGUGUGGGAGAACGGCGUGCCCAGGGGCACGGGGGUCUUCACCUGGCCCGACGGCAGCCGCUACGUCGGCUCCUGGCCGCGGAGCUGCGUCGACCUGCCGGCCAUAAGCGGCACCUUCUUCCCGCCGGUUGGCGUAGGGGGCGCGGCGCGGAAGAGGUCCUCCGUGGAGGGGAUUGGGGAGAAGGCGGCCGCCGUGCCGCGGAUCUGCAUCUGGGAAUCGGAGGGCGAGGCGGGGGACAUCACCUGCGACAUUGUGGAUGCGCUCGAGGCCUCCAUGCUCUACCGGGAGGCCGCGCCCGCUGGAGGUGCGCCAACGUACAUGCGGACGCAGCGCAGCGCCCGGCGAGGGGCCAACGGAGGCCCGUGCUGGUCCUCGUCGGCCGCUACCACGCCUGAGGGGAAGCGACCUGGGCAGACCAUCUCCAAGGGGCAUAAGAACUACGAGCUCAUGCUGCAGCUGCAAUUGGGCAUCAGGCAUUCGGUGGGGAAAUCUGCUGCGGUGCCGAUGCGGGAGCUUGCACUGGCAGAUUUUGAUCCUAGGGAGAAGUUCUGGACACGGUUCCCUCCUGAGGGGUCAAAAGUCACGCCACCACAUUCCUCCCCAGAUUUCCGGUGGAAGGACUACUGCCCAAUGGUGUUCAGACAUUUGAGGAAGUUGUUUGCUGUUGAUCCGGCGGAUUACAUGCUCGCUAUCUGUGGAAAUGAUGCACUGAGGGAGCUGUCUUCGCCUGGGAAGAGCGGAAGUUUCUUUUACCUCACCCAAGACGACCGUUUCAUGAUUAAAACAGUGAGAAAAUCAGAAGUCAAGUUGCUUAUUCGGAUGCUGCCUAGCUACUUCCAACAUGUUAGUCGAUAUGAUUACUCUCUAAUUACAAGGUUCUAUGGUGUCCACUGUGUAAAGCCCAUCAAUGGACCGAAGGUCCGUUUUAUUGUCAUGGGAAAUUUGUUCUGCUCGGACUAUCAGAUUCAUCGCCGUUUUGAUCUUAAAGGUUCAUCAUAUGGCCGAACGGCAGACAAAUUUGAAGAAGAGAUUGAUGAGACAACUACUCUUAAAGACUUAGAUCUCAACUUUGUAUUUCGGUUGCGGCGGUCUUGGUAUAGAGAUCUCCAUGAGCAACUCCAGAGAGAUUGUGAAUUUUUGGAGUCUGAAGGUAUUAUGGACUACAGCUUCUUGGUGGGAGUUCACUUUUGUGAUGAUGUCUCUGCCUCGAAGAUGGGGUUGUCAACUUUUACCGCUUCUCCAACAGAGCUAUCAAUGAAGUGCGAGACAUUUCAAGUUGGUGGUGGUGGCAUGCCAGAGCUGUGCUUCUCAGAUAAUGAUUAUGAUAGGAUACCUGACUGCCGGAAGCCAUUGAUUAGGCUGGGUGCGCACAUGCCAGCCCAGGCAGAGCAAGCAUCCAGAAGAAGCGAGUUCGAUCCGUUUCUCCUCAGUGGCGGGGGAUUCCUGGCCCCGAACCAGACCGGCGAGGUGCACGACGUGAUCCUGUAUUUCGGGAUAAUCGACAUUCUCCAGGACUAUGACAUCACCAAAAGGCUGGAGCAUGUUUACAAGUCGUUGCAGACCGACCCAAAUUCGAUAUCUGCCGUGGACCCGAAGCUCUACUCCAAGAGGUUUCAGGAUUUCAUCGGCAGAAUUUUUGUGGAAGAUGGCUAA
rnacentral:rRNA from 1 species